UACGUAGGGGGCAAGCGUUGUCCGGAAUUAUUGGGCGUAAAGCGCGUGUAGGCGGUCCGAUAAGUUCGCUGUGAAAGUCGGGGGCUUAACCCUCGGAUGCCGGUGAAUACUGUCGGGCUUGAGUACGGAAGAGGCGAGUGGAAUUCCUGGUGUAGCGGUGAAAUGCGCAGAUAUCAGGAGGAACACCAAUUGCGAAGGCAGCUCGCUGGGACGUUACUGACGCUGAGACGCGAAAGCGUGGGGAGCAAACAGG
rnacentral:rRNA from 1 species